GGAGAGAUGGCUGAGUGGUCGAAAGCGGCGGUCUCGAAAACCGUUAAUCCCCCAUCGGGGAUUCUGGGGUUCGAAUCCCCAUCUCUCCG
rnacentral:tRNA from 1 species